ensembl:snoRNA SNORA71 Small nucleolar RNA SNORA71
CCCUGUAUUGACAGUGACUAUGGUAUGUCUGGUUGCCAGGUCAUUGAUACUACAGGGAGAGAAAACUGAAAACCUUCCCCGUGUUUGCAGGACUGCUUGUUCCUGUCAAACCCUGUAUUUUUUCAGACA